GACAGUGACAAAAAGGAAGCAGCCUUCUCUAGCCCACCCAAGUUUCCAUCAAAGGAGCAAGCCUAUGUCAGUAAGAAGAAAGCUGGCUAACCCUCCCACCCCUUGUUUAACUCCUCCAGCCCAUCCCACAUCAUUGUAGAGUGAAGAGACUGCGGUUAAUAUUCAGAAAGAGGCGCAGAGAACUGAAGGCUUUCCUGACUUGACACCGAAUAAUAACGAAGGCCUGUGUGCUUUGCAGCAGCCUCCACGUCACCCUCUUCCAGGGCUCCGUCAGAGGACUAACGAUAUGCCACAAGAUGAUUGGCAGCAAGACACACCCAGUGAUGAAGGGAUGUGCUCUCCUUAAAUCACAGCCUAUUCAUCAGGUGCUGUGUUAAGAAAUCCUGCCUACAAAGUUCCACUGAGGCUGAUAUAAAGAUGACUGUGAGAAACUGGCUGCGGCUGUCUGAGCAGAGACAGGAAUGGGGGCGGCAAAGGCGGGACAAGCAAGCAUCUUAAGUGAAAUAAUUGAUUGGACUGAUUCUGGAGUAUGACUUAUUCUGGAGGGAAUUUCUUAUUUUUGUUGCAGUUUGCUAUGGGACGGUUUCAAGGACAGGGAUUAGACUAGUCCUGGACUAAAAUAAAUGUAAGAGCUGUCCAAACUGAAAACAACUUGCACUGACAUAUCAUAAAAUACAUCAGUGUCUUUUGUGAUGCUUCAAAAUGCACACAAGUAAUGUUUUUAUUAAGACAUGUUAUUAAAACUAGUUAUAUUUCAGAAUUAAACUAAGGCCUAGUCCCAGUUUAAGAUAAUCCCUGUCCGGGAAACCACCCCAAAGUGUAAUUUGUGGAGUGUUAAAAUAAAUGAAACAAUGAAACUGCCUUUGCAAAAACAAAGUAAAAAAAAAUUUCCAGAUGCCCUUCUGUUUUGUUAUUUCUCCUGGAAAACUCACUGAUCCAUUUUUUUCUGUUAGACUGACAUUUACCAGGUUGUCAUAUUGUGUAUGAAAUACACCCUACACAUAACAAUCACUUACUUUCAAUUUAAACUUUUUUUGUCAUAAAACCUGGCAACUCAAAAGGAAGCGGCUGCAGACUGCGCAGCCACGGACGGAGUCUUGCAUGCAAGUGGGCUAGUUGCCUACUUCUCAACUAGCUCUUGUCAAAUUGUUAGGGAAGAAAUGUUAUGAUUAACACAACAUAAACUGUUAUUGAGGGUUGAUUGUUGUUGAUACACAAUAUGAAAUGAGUUAGCCUGCAGGGGUCUCCAACAUUGUGAGCAAGGGCUACAACAAUAUGUAUAAAACAAUCUGGAGGGCUACUUUUUUAUUUAUUCUACUCAAAACUUUUUUAUUUUACUUACUGAUUUUAUUUUAUUUUACUUUUUGAUAUGUUUUAGUAUUGUUUAAUAUGUUAACAUACGUAAACCAAGCCAAGUUAAUAUAAAACAUAUGUAUGUAAUAAAUAAAUAUUACAAUUGAGACUAAUAGAAUGUGCUGGCACCAUGGAGACCCCUUGCCUAAACAAAUCAAUUAUAUAACGGUGGGAUCCUGACGCCUCGCUCCCUUUAACACUGGAACAGCUGCUUUAUAAGCAUGCCUUGACGUUUACAGCGAUGCAGCCGAAAAUCAGCUGUGUUCAAUGGGAGAGCGAAGCGGAUCGCGCCGCAUAUAGGUCAUAAUAAUUAGGGCGGGUUUACGUUGGCUCACGGUCGGCGAUCAUUCUAAUGCCACCAUCUUCCCGAUGUCUUGCCUAUUAGCUACCGAUCUCCAUAAGACAUCUCACCGAGGCACUUUAUGUCGGGCAAGUACAUGCGCCCCAACGUCGGUAAGAGCUAAAUUGCUGUCUGGGUUAUUGUGAAGUGCCUUAAAAU